rnacentral:rRNA from 1 species
CAAUAGCGUAUAUUAAAGUUGUUGCAGUUAAAAAGCUCGUAGUUGGAUUUCUGGUGGGAGCGAUCGGUCUGGCGCUUAGCGCGAGUACUUGCAUCGUCCCCGGCCAUCCUUGGGGAGAGUCUGUCUGGCAUUAGGUUGUCGGGCAGAGGAUCCUCAUCGUUUACUGUGAAAAAAUUAGAGUGUUCAAAGCAGGCUUAUGCCGUUGAAUAUAUUAGCAUGGAAUAAUAAGAUAGGACUUUGGUACUAUUUUGUUGGUUUGCGCACCAAAGUAAUGAUUAAUAGGGACAGUUGGGGGUAUUCGUAUUCCGUUGUCAGAGGUGAAAUUCUUGGAUUUACGGAAGACGAACUACUGCGAAAGCAUUUACCAAGGAUGUUUUCAUUAA